rnacentral:rRNA from 1 species
CGUAAAGCGCAUGCAGGUGGUUUGUUAAGUCAGAUGUGAAAGACCCGGGGCGUCAACCUCGGAAUAGCAUUUGUAAACUAGGCAGACUAGAGUACUGUAGAGGGGGGUAGGAAUUUCAGGUGUAGCGGUGAAAAUGCGUAGAGAUCUGAAGGAAUACCGGUGGCGAAGGCGGCCCCCUCGGACAGAUACUGACACUCAGAUGCGAAAGCGUGGGGAGCAAACAGGAUUAGAUACCCUGGUAG